AUUAACAUUUACAUUUGUUCCUCUCUACCUGAAACUGAGAGAAGGUGGCCAUGGUGAUCGACAUAGAGAUCGAGUAAUUGGAAGGGAGAAAUGAGUUCUAUUGAGUUGCAGUAAGAUGGGUUUGAUCUUGAGUGCGCUGUUGAUGAUUACAAGGAUUUUUGCUGAGUUGAAUUUGAAGAUUACAGUGAGAAUUGAUUUGCUGCUGAAUCGAGAUUGUUCGAAGGUUGAGAAGGAAAUUAAGUUAGGUUUCUGCUGCUGUGGUGAUUCACAGUUAGGGUUUCUGUUGGAUUUUGUUGUUAUUCUCGAUUGAUGGUUUGUGGAAGAUGUUGGUGAUGAUUACAGAAAUUAGGGUUUGUAGAUGAAAUUGUUGCUAUCGAUUGAUUAAGAAAACAAGACAGGUUUGGGUUGUGCUGGAUUCAAGAGUGCAGAGAGUUAGAAGAGGAACUUGAAACUGCUGCAGGACAACAAAUGAAGAAUGGCUUGAAGAAAUAGACAACACUAGUGGUGAUUUUGAUGGGUUAUGAACUAAUGAAGUUGCAUUUGAGAUGUAAUGAAGAAGAUGGAGCCGAAGUUGCAGGUGAAUGAAGAGGACAAUGGUGUUGUCUUAGGCUGAAUGUGAAGUUGCAGGUAAUGCAGUGGUAAUCUUGGUGUUACAGAGAAAGAUUGGAAUGUGUUGCAACCCAAUGCAGGCAACGGAUUCAGACGGCUAUGGAUGAAUGGUGAUUCAGUUGGUGGUUGUUGUUUCAAGAGACAAGAAUGGGUAUUUGAUGUUGGCAUUAAACUGAAAUGGGUUUGAGGCAAUGUGUGCAGGUGUUAGCAAUGAACUGAGAUGCUGAGAAGAAUGAGUAUUGGCUGGGAAGAUAUUAGUUGAGCAGGUUCUGCAAUUGGAACAAGGAAAUGAUUUGAUAUGAUGCUGUGUAUGUGAAGCUACAAGAAGUGUGAAGUUGCAGUGAAGGCAAGGAAGUAAUGCAGUUGAAAUGUGCUUAACUAGAUGUAUGAUGCAGGAAGUGAUCGAAGCUAAUGGGUGAUGUUGUGACGGAUGCAGAACUGGAACUGGUGGUCAAGAUGAUGCAGUUGGUGUGCAGCCGAGAAAGAUCCAAGUGAUGCUGUUGUUGCAGUUGUGUGGCUGGAGCUGUUAAACUGAGCAUGGGUUUCAGAUGAGAAGCUGGUGGUUAAUGUUGAAGACAAGAAGAGAUGCAGCUCUGUGUGACUAACUGGAUGCAAUGCAUUCCAGGAUGGUGAAAAUUCUGAUAACUGGUGGUGAUUUGGUCAAGUUACAGAGACCUGAGUAAGCUGAAUGGUGCUAAGACAAUGAAGCUGAAUAUAUGAGCAGAAUGGGUAUGGUGGUGUGCCGCUGGAGAAUCAAUAUGGGUUGGUUUUUCACAAAACUUCAUAGAGAAAUGGAGAUUGAGCAGAUGAGGAUGAUGCAGAUUCAAAGAAAUCAGUAUUGUAGCAGAUGUUCAUAAUGUGCUGAUGUUGCAGCUGCAAUCUGAGACAAGGAAAAGUACUGGUGAACGAUGGAAGCUACAGCAAAUGGAACUAGUGUUGAAAUGAGCAUGUGCUGGAUUUGGUUGCAGCUAUGAACUAUGGUUUAUAUGGCAGUGUGGAGUGUUAUCAAAUGUUGCUGGUAUGAACUGGUGGAUAUUUGAUUGAACAGAGAAGGUGAGAAUGUGCAGGUGCAGUGUUGCAAUGAGCUGGAGGUGUUGAUGCUGCUUCAACUAGAUGCAUAUUAGGGUGCACAAUUGUGCAUGAAUUGAAGAGAGAAUGGCCUGAAACAAUGGCCGGGAAGCAGCAACAAAAACAGGUAGACCCUGCCUGAAUUUCAUCCAGGCGAGUUAACUCACUUGACUACUGAUCCAGUAGUUUACUCAGAUGGACUUGGGCUUCACUUGUGGGCUGAAGGACUGAUUUUUGGCAGAAGGGUGCGACCAGCAUUGGGAAACGGAGAAACAUAUAAAAGAGGGUUGUAUUCCAUUGUCUUUGAGGGAUAAUCUCUUCUUCUACUUUUAUUCUAGGGUUUAGAAACAUGAUAGGUUUUCUCUUCCUUGUUGUUAUGAACUCCUAUGCUAUGAGUACCUAGUUUUAUUAUUGGUUUGAGGAACAAGUUGGAUUUCCAAAUAUGGGUUUUUAUGCAAUAAAUUAGUUUUGUUUCCA